CACUACAACAAAAAGGGCCAAUGCGCACAAUAAAUUAUUUGUGCCCUUUGAGGCCAAAAAGCACCAACAAUUGUGCUAAUAGACCAAUACCAACAGUGCAGCAACUAUCUUUGUGUAUGUGCCCUCUAUGGGCGUCACCAUUGAUCAAUGGGCACCAAUAGUUUUUUGUGCUCAGAGAGGUGAACACAAAUAAGGGUCUUUUUGUGCCGUUUCUCUGACAAGGUUGUCAGAUCACUUUUUUUCCAUCCAUGAUGGCACUUCAUAUUGUAAUUGUGCCAAUAUGAAUUAAAUAUUAAAAAAAAUCAAAGUUUGAAACUAAAAUUAAGGAAAUGAAAAUUUUUAAUUUUCUUAAAAUGAAAAGACCUACAACACAUUCCCAAUCUCACAUACAUAAUGUAAUGUUACAUAUUUUAUCUCUAAUACAAUAAAACUUGAAAGCACAUAUUUUUGGACAAAUGCAGUUUCCCCAGCAACCCUUGCACCUCAUCAUAAGCCAUAACAAAUAUAGUCGAAUUCAAAACAAAAUAAGUCCAAAAUUACGCCUAAAAAGGAGUUAGUUAAAAUCAAUACUUAAAAGUUCCAAAUCUGCCAUAUCAAAGAUUCACCCCUUUUCCCAACUUGGUGGAUAGUGCAAUCAUCUUCCUGAAAUCCAAAUGAACGUGAAAAUGAAAAAAAGAAAUGAAAGGACCUAUUUCCAAUCAUGUUCAAGGACCAAAACUUUCAAUCGGCAUUAAGAACUCAAUAGCAGUGAUGCAUUGCUACUUUGUUAUACCAAAUUACAACAUACAAAAUAUGCAACUAAACUAAGCAGCUAAACCAUCAUUAGUGCUAACAAGAUGUACAAAACAAUAAAAGUUUGGACAAUCAUUGUUAUGACAUUAAUUUCUAAGAAAGAAAGAAACUGCUAAGAACCUUAUAGGUUUGCAACACACAAGCUAAUAAAUAAGUAUUUUGAAUUCUAAUUUUCAGCUUUAGAGAAGUCUUUCAUGUUUCCAUACGGAAAGAUAAGAUUCAUGGAGCUGUUUAAUUUCUGAAGACUGCAGGUUUCCUCACUGUUUAGUCUCUCCUAAGAGCAACCUAAACACUUAACUACAGCUAAAAACUUGCAACAAAGCCCUCAAGUGGGUACUUGUAGGUUGUACCAAUGUAAUAUAUAGUAAGAAACAUACUCAUUAUUAGACAUCGUAGUGUUUUAAGGAGAGUGAAAACUCAAAUUCGAUCUUCACACUUCUGCAUGCACUUUUGUUAUCAACAUAACAUGAUCAUCAAGAAGUUAAAUGAAGAUAACAAAUUAAAUUUAUGUUCAUUUGCUAAUAAUGAAACAAGUAACAAACAUACUUCAUAAGUGAAGGUAUUUUCCCCAAUUGUCAAAGCCAUAGCUCUCCAGCAAGGCAUCAAAGAACAAACCUCUUUUCCUUGAAAGCGAAAACAGUUAGGAUUAAAAAGGAAAAAUUGACGACCAUGGUGACAGUACAAGAAAUCAGUCCAAUGCAAUGAGACAAAUCCGACAAAAUUCACUCUAAAUGCCACAUGAAUUUUAGUUAUUGAAAUUUUGAGAAAGACUGAAAAUUCAUCAUAAUGAAAAUAUGCUUAUCAAUGACAACGCACAACAUUGUAACAUUACAUUCAGAAAAUGGUUUUGAUUGGUUUUGAUAGGAAGCAUUGUAAGUUAAUCCCAAACAUUUAAUUCAUGCUUCCAAAAUUAACAAAUUCUACAACUGCAAGAGAAACCCUACUUAAAUAUCUUAAAUGCCAAAACCAAAAACUGCCCUUAUAUGCUGGAAGAUAAGAUCCUACCAUCUUCUCUGUAUUCUCCACCACAGUUGCAUUCCCAUAUCUGCAUUACCAACAACAACAACAACAAAGCCUUUUCCCACUAAGUGGGGUCGGCUAUAUGAAUCCUAGAACGCCAUUGCGCUCGGUUUUGUGUCAUGUCCUCCGUUAGAACCAAGUACUCUAAGUCUUUUCUUAGAGUCUCUUCCAAAGUUUUCCUAGGUCUUCCUCUACCCCUUUGGCCCUGAACCUCUGUCCCGUAGUCACAUCUUCGAACCGGAGCGUCAGUAGGCCUUCUUUGCACAUGUCCAAAUCACCGGAACCGAUUUUCUCUCAUCUUUCCUUCAAUUUCGGCCACUCCUACUUUACCUCGAAUAUCCUCAUUUCCAAUCUUAUCAUUUCUUGUGUGCCCACACAUCCCACGAAGCAUCCUCGUCUCCGCCACACCCAUUUUGUGUACGUGUUGAUGCUUCACCGCCCAACAUUCUGUGCCAUACAACAUCGCUGGCCUUAUUGCCGUCCUAUAAAAUUUUCCCUUGAGCUUCAGUGGCCUACGACGGUCACACAACCCGCCGGAUGCACUCUUACACUUCAUCUAUCCAACUUCUAUUCUAUGGUUGAGAUCUCUCUCUAAUUCUCCGUUCUCUUGCACGAUAUAUCCUAGGUAGCGAAAACGGUCGCUUUUGUGAUAUUCGUUAGAUUGCUCCGAUCAUUAGUGUGGAUAAGUAUAUAAAUGGAUAUAGAUAGGAAAGCAAACACAAGAUGUACGUGGUUCACCCAGAUUGGUUACGUCCACGGAAUAGAGGAGUUCUCAUUAAUUGUGAAGGGUUUACACAAGUACAUAGGUUCCAGCUUUCCUUUAGUGAGUACAGGUGAAUGAUUUAGUACAAAUGAAAUUAGGAAAUAUUGUGGGAGAAUGAUCUCGUAAUCACGAAACUUCUAAGUAUCGGAAUGUGGUAUCGUCUUGACUUGCCUUAUCUGUCUCAUAGGUAGAUGUGGCAUCUUCUCUGGAAGUACUCUUCCUCCAUCCAAGGGUGGUAUCUUUAACUGGUGGAGAUGCACAAGGUAAUGUAUCAAUUUCACUUGAAGCUUACUUGUAGUUUCAGGCUUGGUCAAGCGCGAUACAAACCAUGUAGUAGGAGUCCCUCAAGUUGCCGAGCUAGGGGAUUUGCUGAAAGAGGUGACAGACAAGGUAAGCAAUCAGAGCUCCGGCUGAUUGUUCACAUUCUCCCUAUCUUGCAGGCAGCAUGAAGGAUAAAGAGAAGAAAAAUGAGAAGAGAUGAUAUGGGAUACUUUUGCUUUUGAAGAAGUAACUUUCCACAGGCUUAUUCUUGAACUGAGCUGGAGGGUUUUCUGGUUUCCUCCAGAGUAUAAGGCCGACUGAAGAAUUUGAGGGUCAAAACAAGUCCAUCAAAUCUAGAGUACGUUCGACCCUACUGAUAUGGGAUACUUUUGCUUUGACAGAGUAAUGGAUGUAUCGGCACGUGUGCUGUUACGCUUGUCUCCACAUGCUUCCUUGUAUCCUUCUCACUUGCCCUAUUUGUUCCUCAGUCAGAUGCGGUAUCUUCCCUGGAAGCAUAAGAUGUUGAAGAUGAGUACUCGAGAGCAAUGCCAGGUAAGUAAGUUCCAGGCAGUCAGUUCCUGGCUGGAAGCUUGAUUCCAAGUGCUGACUGAUUGCUCUCUUUCUCCUUGUCUUGCACGUAAGAACAAGGCCAAAGAAAAAGACAGGGAAAAAGCAUGAUAUGGGAUACUCUUGCUUUUAACCCUGAUGAUAUGAGAUAUUCUUGCUCUAGUAUAACUUGUUUGCAGAGGUAUUAUCGGGGGGAAAGAAAGCUGAAUAUUUCGAAAGGCUUCGUUGAGAGUGCCCUCUCAUAUAUGAGGAAGGGUUGAGCAUUUUUGCAGGUCUGUCUGUCCGUUGGGGAUGGAGGUUGACAUAUAUAGGAGUCUCCUUAACAACAAGUAGUAAUGCUAUUCCUUUACCCUGUCAGAGCACUUUGAAAAAGUGGUCUGUGGUAUGUGGAAAGCUGAUGUUGCGUGUGAAGAUUACAGACAGCUUUAUCCAAGGAGAUCCGGCUCUUGUAGUUGGGAAAGUGUUGCCUCUUCGGUUUUCGAACAAGCAAUCCUAUCAGGGAUCUGGCUCUCGAGAUUCGGAGAAUGAUGUCUCUUCGAUUUUUGAGAAAGCAAUCAUGCUGGGGGUCUGGCUCUCGAGAUUCGGAGAGCGGUGUCUCUUCGAUUUUUGAGAAAGUAAUCAUGUUGGGAGUUUGGCUCUCGAGAUUCGGAGGGCGGUGCGUCUUCGAUUUUGGAGCAAGCAAUCUUGUUGGGAGUGUUUUCUCGAAUGUGAGUAAAGGUUGGCCAUGUUUGCUAGUCUACCUUGCCACGAAGCACAGAGGUUGACACACAGGGACUUUCCAAUUAUCCAGCAAUGGUACUGUUCCUUUACCCUCUCUUCGAUUUUUGAGAAAGUAGUCAUGUUGGGAGUCUGGCUCUCGAGAUUCGGAGGACGGUGCCUCUUCGAUUUUGGAGCAAGCAAUCUUGUUGGGAGUGUUUUCUCGAAUGUGAGUAAAGGUUGGGCAUGUUUGCUAGUCUACCUUGCCACGAAACACAGAGGUUGACACACAGGGACUUUCCAAUUAUCCAGCAGUGAUACUGUUCCUUUACCCUUGUGGGUAAUAAUAUGGGGUAGCUAGACCUUUCAAAAUUUAUGUGUCUAAACUUUGUUAGUGUGCUGUUUCUUUGCUAUUCUUUUACCCCGUCUUGGUCAGAGCGAUGUAGUGGAAGCUGCAAGCUUCACGUGCUCAACUUUGGCAGAGAACUUUGGCAAAGUUAUCUGUGAUACCCAUGAGCUACUAUUGCGCGUGUGGGAAGUGGGUGAUUGAACAGUAAGACGAUCAUUGUGCUUUCUACUUCACCAGAAGUCUUCGACAGAGAAUGCCCAUAAUUUCCGCAAAGCUGAGUGUGCGUGUGACAGGUGCUGACAAGGCUGGAAAAGUAGGUGCCUCUUCGAUUUCUGAGAUCGGCCCUCGUGGUCUCUGAGCAGCCCAACUUUUGAGAAAGCAAGCGCCUCUUCGAUUUCUGAGAUCGGCCUUCGUGGUCUUUGAGCAGCCUAACUUUUGAGAAAGCAGACGCCUCUUCGAUUUCUGAGAUCGACCCUCGUGGUCUCUGAGCAGCCCAGCUUUUGAGAAAGCAAACGCCUCUUCGAUUUCUGAGCAGGCGCCUCUUCGAUUUUUGAAGCUCCGUCGAGUGCAGAUUUUUAUAGGGGCUGGCAUUAAGUUCCAAAGCACACUUGAAUCUCCACCAGUAGAAGCUCCAUUCUUGCACUUCUAAGAUCUUGAUUUGUUCGACCUCUUCUCUCUUCAACACCUUUGAAAAUGUCUGUCUGGCCCUCCGACCGUCGUUUUGACUUGAACCUUGUUGAAGAGGCAGCCCCGCCUUCUCCAGACAACAUAUGGCGCCCAUCCUUCGUCUCCCCUACUGGUCCUCUUACCGUUGGGGAUUCCGUGAUGAAGAAUGAUAUGACCGCUGCGGUGGUGGCCAGGAACCUUCUCACUCCCAAAGAUAACAGACUACUUUCCAAACGGUCUGAUGAGUUAGCUGUUAAGGAUUCUCUGGCUCUCAGUGUUCAGUGUGCAGGUUCUGUGUCUAAUAUGGCCCAACGCCUAUUUGCUCGAACCCGCCAAGUUGAAUCAUUGGCGGCUGAAGUGAUGAGUCUCAAACAGGAGAUUAGAGGGCUCAAGCAUGAGAAUAAACAGUUGCACCGGCUCGCACAUGACUAUGCUACAAACAUGAAGAGGAAGCUUGACCAGAUGAAGGAAUCUGAUGGUCAGGUUUUACUUGAUCAUCAGAGAUUUGUGGGUUUGUUCCAAAGGCAUUUAUUGCCUUCGUCUUCUGGGGCUGUACCGCGUAAUGAAGCUCCAAAUGAUCAACCUCUGAUGCCUCCUCCUUCUAGGGUUCUGUCCAGUACUGAGGCUCCGAAUGAUCCCCCUCCGGUGCCUUCUCUUUCUGGGGCUCUACCGACUGCUGAGACUUCUCCUAAGCAACCUUUGUGAAGGCUCCCUCUUGUUUGUUUAUUUUGACUCAUGUAUAUGUACAUAUUUGUAGCUUAUCGGGGAUAUCAAUAAAUAAGCUUUCCUUCAUUUCAACGUAUUUGUGUUAAAUACACCAAAGCCUUCUUCGCUAAGUUCUUUGAAUUUUCUUUUGUUGAAGCUGUUGCUUUGUGAGUGGAGCAUGUAGGUUGAGGUAGUGUUCCCUUAAUUUCCCGAGUGAGGAAAACUUCUCGGUUGGAGACUUGGAAAAUCCAAGUCACUGAGUGGGAUCGGCUAUAUGAAUCUUAGAACGCCAUUGUGCUCGGUCCUGUGUCAUGUCCUUCGUUAGAUCCAAGUACUCUAAGUCUUUUCUUAGGGUCUCUUCCAAAGUUUUCCUAGGUCUUCCUCUACCCCUUCGGCCCUGAACCUCUGUCCCAUAGUCGCAUCUUCUAAUCGGAGCGUCAGUAGGCCUUCUUUGCACAUGUCCAAACCACCGUAACCGAUUUUCUCUCAUCUUUCCUUCAAUUUCGGCUACUCCUACUUUACCCCGGAUAUCCUCAUUCCUAAUCUUAUCCUUUCUCGUGUGCCCACACAUCCAACGAAGCAUCCUCAUCUCCGCUACACCCAUUUUGUGUACGUGUUGAUGCUUCACCGCCCAACAUUCUGUGCCAUACAGCAUCGCCGGCCUUAUUGCCGUCCUAUAAAAUUUUCCCUUGAGCUUCAGUGGCAUACGGCGGUCACACAACACGCCGGAUGCACUCUUCCACUUCAUCCAUCCAGCUUGUAUUCUAUGGUUGAGAUCUCCAUCUAAUUCUCCGUUCUUUUGCAAGAUAGAUCCUAGGUAACGAAAACGGAUCGCUCUUUGGUAUUUCUUUCUUGAUCUCCGAUCCUCACCCCUAACUCGUUUUGGCCUCCAUUUGCACUGAACUUGCACUCCAUAUAUUCUGUCUUUGAUCGGCUUAGGCGAAGACCUUUAGAUUCCAACACUUCUCUCCAAAGGUUAAGCUUUGCAUUUACCCCUUCCUGAGUUUCAUCUAUCAACACUAUAUCGUCUGCGAAAAGCAUACACCAAGGAAUAUCAUCUUGAAUAUGUCCUGUUAACUCAUCCAUUACCAACGCAAAAAGGUAAGGACUUAAGGAUGAGCCUUGAUGUAAUCCUACAGUUAUGGGAAAGCUUUCGGUUUGUCCUUCAUGAGUUCUUACGGCAGUCUUUGCUCCUUCAUACAUAUCCUUUAUAGCUUGGAUAUAUGCUACUCGUACUCCUUUCUUCUCUAAAAUCCUCCAAAGAAUGUCUCUUGGGACCCUAUCAUACGCUUUUUCCAAAUCUAUAAAGACCAUGUGUAAAUCCUUUUUCCCAUCUCUAUAUAUCUUUCCAUCAAUCUUCGUAAGAGAUAGAUUGCCUCAUGGUUGAGCGCCCUGGCAUGAACCCGAAUUGGUUGUCCGAAACCCGUGUCUCUUGCCUCAAUCUAUGCUCAAUGACUCUCUCCCAGAGCUUCAUUGUAUGACUCAUUAGCUUAAUACCCCUAUAGUUCAUGCAAUUUUGUACGUCGCCCUUAUUCUUGUAGAUAGGCACUAAAGUGCUCGUUCGCCACUCAUUUGGCAUCUUCUUCGUUUUCAAAAUCCUAUUGAAAAGGUCAGUGAGCCAUGUUAUACCUGUCUCUCCCAAAACUUUCCACACUUCGAUUGGUAUCUCGUCUGGGCCUAUUGCUUUUCUUUGCUUCAUCUUCUUCAAAGCUACAACCACUUCUUCCUUCUGCAUUACCAAACACAUAAAAACAAGGCAAUCAACUCUCCAUCCAAGAAAACAAUUCAACAUUGUUAUGACAUUAUCUUUCUAUUUGCUCCACAAACAAACUAAUCCGGAUGAUAUAUGCAGCAUUUAGACCUCUCAUUGCCAAAGUCAUGGGUAGUAUAAAAAAUUAAAACCAUCGAUCUAAUUAAUUAAAUUUGAUAACAAACAGAGCACACAAAUGUAGAACUACAAAAAUUGAUAGAGCAAGAGAGACAGGGAGGUACAUGAAAAUUUUAUACGAUAGGAACGAGUCUCCAAGUGAGUAAAAUGUGACAUGCAUACAGAAAAUAAACAAUAAACAAUAACUCAUAUUUGAAAAUAUAUAAACUCAAGCCGCAAAAAGAACACUAAUUCAGAUCUUGUGUGGUUUGAAAAAAAACCCAAAUCUGGUACACAUACAAUCUCUUCUAACCAAUUCCUCCAUACAAUUGUACCUACUUAAAUUUCAGGCAAAAAGUUCAAAUUUUCCUAUAUAAACUCACCACCCUUUAAAUAAUUCACAUAAAAACACACAAAAAACAAGUCAAGCUCUUAGAAAUCGAAAGAGGGCUACGUUUAGGGUUAGGGUUUCUCGGGUUCUUACCUAAAUCCAAGAAUUUGAACCACUUUCUUACAGUUCAGCUUGAAUUCAAUCUCCCAAACAAAACCACUAACCAAAUCUUCAACAUGCCAAGUCAAAACCGAAUUAGUCCUGAAUCUCAAGAAUUUUUCAAAUCUAAAAGUUAAAAUUGAAGAAACCCACUUACAUAGAUAGGAAGCUCACCAUGAGAGGAUCACUUUUCUCUAUUGGGUCGAGAUCUAGUUUUGGCCGAAACUUGGUCGGCGAGUACGGUUUGGUUGUUUUAGAAAGAACAAAGAGGGAAGAGACAUAACUAAAAAUAAGGAAAUAUGAAAGAGAUAAAUAUGAAGGAUGUGUGUGGGUUAAAGGGGAGAGGGAGAGCCAGAGAGGGAGAGGGAGAGAGUUGGAUGUAUGUGGGUGGGUUGAAGGGAGAGAUAAUGGGGUUAAAUAUGAAGGGUGUCAGUGGGUUAAGGUGGGGAGAGAGAGAGAGUUGGAUAGAAGUGGGUGGGUUAAGCAGAAAAGAGUGUUGGAUGGAUGUGGGCCACAAGUUUUUGAAAAAAAUAAUAAAGAACAAAGAAUUGUGUCUUUAGAAGUAAACUAUGGGCACAAAUAAUAUAUUAGAGUCCAUUUUUUCAAUAAAGCUAUCAGAUAAUGUAUUUGUGCCUAUUUGUUUUUACAAUGGGCACAAUCUAUGGUGCCCUCUAUUGAAUGAGAACUGUUUCAAUCUUUUGGUGGUCAAAUAGACACAAAAUUCUCAAGUGUGUCCUUUGUUUUGUACCCAAAGCUCAUUUUUCUUGUAGUGAUAAGAUGAAAGCUUCAAGUAUUUGGAUGCAC
rnacentral:lncRNA from 1 species